rnacentral:rRNA from 1 species
GUCUUUUUGUUUAUAAUUUAAAGUCUAAUCUGCUCACUGAAUUAAUUUAAAGAGCCGCAGUAUUUUAACUGUGCAAAGGUAGCAUAAUCAAUAGUUUUUUAAUUGAAAGCUUGUAUGAAUGAUUUUAUAAGAAAUUUAUUUUCUUAAUUUUAAAAAUUGAAUUUUAAAUUUAAGUGAAAAUGCUUAAAUGAAAUUAAGGGACGAGAAGACCCUAUAGAUUUUUAUUAUUUAUAUUUAAUUAUAUAUAAUUAAUAUUAAAAUAAUUUAAUUGGGGUGAUGUUGUAAUAUAAAUAACUUAAAUUAAUUAAAACAUUAAUAAAUGAAUAUUUUGAUCUAAAAUUUUUAAUUAAAAGAUUAAAUUACCUUAGGGAUAACAGCGUAAUUUUAUUUACGAGUUCAUAUCUAUAAUAAAGAUUGCGACCUCGAUGUUGAAUUAAGAUAAAGUAUUGGAGUAGAAAUUAAUAUUAUUAGUCUGUUCGACUAUUAAAUUCU